rnacentral:RNase_P_RNA from 1 species
GAAGCAGGACAAAUGAUCGCCGCCCUGCAAAAGGCAGGGGGGAGGAAAGUCCGGGCUCCUGAGGACAGGAUGCUGGGUAACGCCCAGUCCCGGUGACGGGAAGGAAAGUGCAACAGAAAGGAAACCGCCUUCAUGUGGCUGUUUGGGUGCAUGGAGGUAAGGGUGAAAAGGUGAGGUAAGAGCUCACCGGUUCG